ACGUACACUCCUGCGGGAGGCAGCAGUGGGGAAUAUUGCACAAUGGGCGCAAGCCUGAUGCAGCGACGCCGCGUGGGGGAUGAAGGCCUUCGGGUUGUAAACUCCUUUCGCUAGGGACGAAGCUUUUUUGUGACGGUACCUAGAUAAGAAGCACCGGCUAACUACGUGCCAGCAGCCGCGGUAAUACGUAGGGUGCGAGCGUUGUCCGGAAUUACUGGGCGUAAAGGGCUCGUAGGUGGUUUGUCGCGUCGUCUGUGAAAUUCUGGGGCUUAACUCCGGGCGUGCAGGCGAUACGGGCAUAACUUGAGUGCUGUAGGGGUAACUGGAAUUCCUGGUGUAGCGGUGAAAUGCGCAGAUAUCAGGAGGAACACCGAUGGCGAAGGCAGGUUACUGGGCAGUUACUGACGCUGAGGAGCGAAAGCAUGGGUAGCGAACAGGAUUAGAAACCCCAGUAGUCCCAUGA
rnacentral:rRNA from 1 species